rnacentral:rRNA from 1 species
GACAGAGGUGGCAAGCGUUGUUCGGAUUCAUUGGGUGUAAAGGGUCCGUAGGUGGUCAAGCAAGUCUGAUGUGAAAUCCCAUGGCUCAACCGUGGAACGGCAUUGGAAACUGCCUGACUUGAGUACCGCAGAGGUGAAGGGAAUUCCCGGUGUAAGGGUGAAAUCUGUAGAUAUCGGGAGGAACACCAGUGGCGAAAGCGCUUCACUGGGCGGUUGCUGACACUGAGGGACGAAAGCAAGGGGAGCAAACAGG